UACGGGGGGGGCAAGCGUUGUUCGGAAUUACUGGGCGUAAAGGGCGUGUAGGCGGCCUAGCAAGUCAGCUGUGAAAGCCCCAGGCUCAACCUGGGAAUUGCAUCUGAAACUGCUGGGCUAGAGUUCAGGAGAGGAGGGCGGAACUCCCAGUGUAGCGGUGAAAUGCGUAGAUAUUGGGAGGAACACCGGUGGCGAAGGCGGCUCUCUGGACUGAAACUGACGCUGAGGCGCGAAAGCCAGGGGAGCGAACGGG
rnacentral:rRNA from 1 species